AAUUAGGGUUCGAUUCCGGAGAGGGAGCCUGAGAAACGGCUACCACAUCUAAGGAAGGCAGCAGGCGCGCAAAUUACCCAAUCCUGACUCAGGGAGGUAGUGACAAGAAAUAACAACACUGGAAAUUUGAUUUCUAGUGAUUGGAAUGAUGGGAAUCCAAACCCCUUUCAGAGUAACAAUUGGAGGGCAAGUCUGGUGCCAGCAGCCGCGGUAAUUCCAGCUCCAAUAGCGUAUAUUAAAGUUGUUGCAGUUAAAAAGCUCGUAGUUGGAUGUCUGUUGGAAGCAAUCAUCAGUCCGCCCUAUUUGAUUAGGGUGUGAAUAUGAUGAAUUCCGGCAUAAUUGUCUCCCUAUUGUUAAUAUUCUGAUUGUUAGAUUCAUUUCUAACAAUAAUACGAUUAUUAAUAAUAAGGGGGAAAUGUUACUUUGAGAAAAUUAGAGUGUUUGAAGCAGGCUUUUGUUGCCUUGAAUACUGCAGCAUGGAAUAACAAUAUAGGAUUUCGGUUCUAUUUUGUUGGUUCUUUUUUUAGGACUGAAAUAAUGAUUAAUAGGGACAGUUGGGGGCAUUCGUAUUUAACUGUCAGAGGUGAAAUUCUUAGAUUUGUUAAAGACGAACUACUGCGAAAGCAUUUGCCAAAGAUGUUUUCAUUAAUCAAGAACGAAA
rnacentral:rRNA from 1 species